rnacentral:sRNA from 1 species
UACUGCGGCUCCUGCUGCCGCCGCCGCUCGGCCUCAGGCAGCUGCAUCCUCGGCCGGGCCGGGUCCCCGCCCCGCGCCGCGCCCGGCCCCGCCAUGGUGUCCUGGAUCAUCUCUCGCCUGGUGGUGCUCAUCUUUGGCACCCUGUACCCAGCCUAUUCUUCCUACAAGGCCGUGAAGACAAAAAACGUGAAGGAAUAUGUGAAAUGGAUGAUGUACUGGAUUGUCUUUGCCUUCUUCACCACGGCCGAGACGCUCACGGAUAUAGUGCUCUCCUGGUUGGAGUGUAGUGGUAUGAUCUCGGCUCACUGCAGCCUCGACCUCCUGGGCUCAAGUGAUCCUCCCACCUCAACCUCCUGAGUAGCUGGGACCACAGGCACACGCCACCACACCUGGCUUAUUUUUUAUUUUUUGUAGAGAUGGGGUUUUGCUGUGUUACCAGGCUGGUCUUGAACUCCUGGGCUCAGAUGAUCCUCCCACAUUGGCUCCCAAAGUGCUGGGAGAUUACAGGCCACUGUGCCAGGCCUAUACAUGUGUCUUGACACAGCAA